CURURUCUAAAACAUUUUUAUCCAUGAAAUUUCRCCAGUAAUUUUGUUUUUAAUUGGUGUCUUCAAGAGGCCAUCUUCUUGUCACCAUCUGACYGAGUUCACCAGGGAAACACUCAAGAYCAAAUAUAGUGAAUCGGUUAUGUUUGAUAUUAAUUGCGCGUGCCAGAAAUGGACGGCUUGAUGGAUAUUGAUCGCUKUUAAACUGUUGAGAACGUUUAGCAAUAACUAUAUAACUACCAUAAUGAUGGAUGGAUUUCCAGGAAGGUAAUGCACUUUUGACAUGGGAAAGUACAGUGCAGUAUUAUAUCAUCAAGUAUGUUAAAGCCCUUAAGCCUUCAUUUACAUGACAAAAGGGUAACUUAAAUAUUAAUAUUCUUGGCACGAUUCUUUACUGCGCUGUAAUUAUGUGACUUCGUUUGAAAGUGAAUGAUUUGAAUUAAGGUGGCUGCGAACCUUCAGAACUGCGCUUCACGCGCCUAACUUGUAGACAUUCAGCAAGCUUUUUGAAGCUGGGAUUCGGGUGUCUCGAAGGUUUACAGUAGCCUUACAUUCACAUAAAUGGUCGGGGGUAUUUGAUGUUAACGAGCCAUGUUUUAAGUUUUCCAUUAAUCCUAUAUAUGUUUGCGUUUGACAUUUGAUUUGCUGACAUGUUAAUCUUUUCUAAGUCCAAAACAAAAAGUCUUAAGUAUGAUUGGCCUUUGAUAAUAAUCCACUCGCUAGUGUUUGGGUCAACAAAUGUAUUGUUUAAGCUCUAUACUUCAAAACUAAUUAAUAGAUCGAUAACCGAUGCAAUAAAACAGUGUAGUAGCUUGUAGUAUGGACCGUACAGAAUACUUUGAUGAGGUGACGGUUUUGGCAGAAAUUUUUGCACAAUACUAUUGACAAAAUGACUUUGACUUCUAGAUUGCAUGUAUUACUGAGCAGUGGAACUUCAAAACUUUUAUGAAAAGCUUAAGAUACUAACUAUAUAAACUUUUCUCUAUCUUUUUGAAAUGAGCCUUUAAAGAAUGUUACGAGAUUUUAUGCUCAAAAUGCCCAAAUAUGGGACAUAAUUGAUUGCAAUGUGGCCAGGUUACAACAGCUAGGGUGUGAAAUCGAUACGAUUCCAACAUUCGAUGCGAUCAUGAGGUAUUUGACGCUCCAAAACUGCUAAGUGUUGCAGAAGCCCAAGAUGGACCAGAACACCUCGCAGCUGAAACAGAAUUAGAAAAAAAUACUGCUCCUAAGAAGAAAGCUUUAUUUGAUCAUGGCUUAAGAUAUUAAAACACUGUCUUGUUUUUUAUACUACAUGUACUUUUCUUGGUAAUUGUCAGUGUCUGAGUAGAGUGAGUAACAUUACUUUCGCACACGUAAUAUAAGGCUGAAUGUUUCCACUCUUUUUUCAAUGUGAAGAAAUGUCUAUGUAUGAGAGCAAACACAGGAGGGAUAACCUACACAGCUGUUCCCCCCAUUUUCAUAUGUCCCUUCCCAAAAGAGCUUGAUAAUGUACCCUGGGCGUAGGCUUCAGGAAAGGGUGACAAAAUGUUCUGGUCUUGGAUUUAAGUGUGAAAACUUUAAUCUCACUCUGUGUCUUUAAAUGUGAGAAGACCUUUUGCCACCCUGGCCUAGUACAGAAGAUCCUUUCAAUGAUGAUCCAAUGGAUGACCACAACAGGGCCUAUCAUUAACAAAAUGGACUCAACCUCUUAAUAAACAAGGGAAACUGGGGG